rnacentral:misc_RNA from 1 species
GAUGAAGAACGUAGCGAAAUGCGAUAAGUAGUGUGAAUUGCAGAAUUCAGUGAAUCAUCGAAUCUUUGAACGCACAUUGCGCCUUCUAGUAUUCUGGGAGGCAUGCCUGUUUGAGCGUCAUUAAACCUCUCUCAAGUAUGAUUACUUGGAUGUGAAGGAAGAGUACCUUAAACUUAAGGAGUGUUCUCCUUUGAAAUUGAUUAGCAGAUGGUAAUGUUAUUAAAUCCCUGAUGUUGUAAGAAAUAACAGUGGUUUUGUAGACUAUUAUCUAGCUUUAAAUUAUAAUUUUUAUUAUGGUUGACCUCAAAUCAGGUAAGGAUACCCGCUGAACUUAGGCAUAUCAAUAAGCGGAGGA